rnacentral:rRNA from 1 species
GACGAACGCUGGCGGCGUGCUUAACACAUGCAAGUCGAACGGAAAGGCCCUGCUUUUGUGGGGUGCUCGAGUGGCGAACGGGUGAGUAACACGUGAGUAACCUGCCCUUGACUUUGGGAUAACUUCAGGAAACUGGGGCUAAUACCGGAUAGGUGCUCCUGCUGCAUGGUGGGGGUUGGAAAGUUUCGGCGGUUGGGGAUGGACUCGCGGCUUAUCAGCUUGUUGGUGGGGUAGUGGCUUACCAAGGCUUUGACGGGUAGCCGGCCUGAGAGGGUGACCGGCCACAGUGGGACUGAGAGACGGCCCAGACUCCUACGGGAGGCAGCAGUGGGGAAGAUUGCACAAUGGGCGGAAGCCUGAUGCAGCAACGCCGCGUGCGGGAUGACGGCCUUCGGGUUGUAAACCGCUUUCGCCUGUGACGAAGCGUGAGUGACGGUAAUGGGUAAAGAAGCACCGGCUAACUACGUG